ACCCCCAAAAGGUGCCGGGUCUCUGAGAGCCAAGUUUGAACUGGCCAGUGGUCCAUCGAACCCCUCCACUCUGGCCGUGCAGUUCAUGAACGAAGGCACCACGCUGUCUGGAGUAGACAUGGAGCUCCAGGGCAGCGGGUACAGACUGUCCCUCAGCAAGAAGAGAUUUGCCACAGGGCGCUACAUGGCAGAUUUCUGAGUUGUUCUGCUCCUUAGACACACAUCAGGACAAACGUCCUCUCUUGACACACAACUCUGCAGCUUUUCUGACACGUCCUGAACCUCUUGAUCCUCAUGAGCACAGCUGUGCGUUUGCUCAGGAGCCAAGAAUCUCACUACAAUAAAACAGCACUGAGUAUUGAACACUGUCUAAUGAGGAAAAAAAAAAAAAGGAAAAAAAAAAAAAAAAAAGGAAGAAGAUGAGCUUUCAAGAACUGUGUAGAUAUGGCAUCUAAUAAUGCUCCGUCAUUGGUUCAUUUUUGUAUAGUCUGAACCAAUGACUGGACUGGAUAUAAAUCUCUAUUGUAUUUGAAAUCAUAAAAAAAAUGAAAAAGUGCACUAACAGUAAUUUCUUAUGCUCUUUUCCCACUUGUAUCGACUUCUUUCCAUCUCACCGAGCCUUUUCUGGAGGUGGACGACACGUCUCCGUCUUUUCAUUUUUGAACUGUAAAUACUAACACUGCCAUCAGCCUUUAUUCAACUCUCCAGUCACUUUUUCCUCCUGAUUAUUUCCAGUUUAUUCCUCUUUUUUUUUAUAUAUGAUCACGUGCAAUUAAGUCCUGUCUUUCUCUCACUCUCUCGUGGCACAAACUCUAUCUCUAAACAGCAGUAAAGUGCUUUCAAACAAAUGCAAAAAAAAAAAAAAGAAAAAAAUCCUGACCUCAGUGCCUCCUCCUCCUCCUUCUCCUCCUCCUCCUCCUCCUCCUCUUUCUCUUUAUUCUGCAGGCAACUAAUGUGUGUCAGUGCAUUUUACUCCAAUCCAAGCUACAGUUCUCUGAGCUGGAGAGCACGGAGUUUUUUUAAACAGUCGCCCCUAAUCAGUGAUCAGUGGGUUUUUAAAGUCGUACCUGUAAAGUCAACCCCCGUCUUUGGGGCUUUUUCUUUGAGACUUUCAUUCUUUCUAAACCAAACACAAAAACAAAAAAGUCUCGCAAAUCUUGACAUGUAAAAAUGAAGAAAAAAAAGAAAACUAAAAAUCAGGAUUUCUUUUUUUUAUUUUACUUUUAACUUUCAAGAAAUGUGCCUGAAUGCAUUUUUUUUCUGAACAUGUUUUAUAAAAAUGCAGCACAUUUUUUGAGAAAAGCACCAACAUUUGGACUGGAUAUAUACAGAAUAUAUAGAUCUAUUUUUAACUCUGUCAUUUGGAUACUGAAGGGAAAGUAUUUCUUGUUCUUAUCAGACGACUGUCUUUUGAUUUUUUUUUUUUUUUUGAACUCACCCUUUAGUCUUUUGGCCUCACCGCUCAGUAGCACGCGGAAGGCAAACCUAAUCAACACAAUGCAUGCUGGGAUAAAUUCCAAUCUCCUGCAACUUUAGGGAAGUCGAACAUGUCCACGUUUGACUCUCGGUGCUUUAUUCUUCUCGUUAACCAGCAGAUGCUGCUGUUGCUGCUGCACAGGCUGUUGAACAUGAAGUUUGUUUGUUUGUCGUCAUUUUAAUCGACCUCAUCUUUUCCUCGGUGUCUGUUUUUCUUCCCCUCGGACUCACAGCUGAUUUUAAGCUCGUUCAUGUUCUCACUAGAAAAAACUACUUGAUCCAUUCAUUAUCUCUGGUGUGUGCUGUCAAAUUAUUCCUGUUUGUUAUGUCCCGUGACUCUUUGGGUGUCUGGUUUUAAGGGCCUUUGAUAUGACUUCAAAGAACCCUGUCGUCUCUUUUUGUGAACUUUAAUCAGCCAAAUAUUUGGAAGAGGAACGAGUUUCUUUGCAUUCUUAAAUUGUAGCAGCAGGUGUUUGAAGAGAAACCAUGACGUUCUGUGGAUUUAAGGGCGGAGCGAGUGAUUUUAUUUUUCCCGUCUUUUAGGGAACGCCCACAGAUUCUGUGGACUUGCCAUUGUUAGCGAGCUGGUUCUUGCUGUCCCCGUGAAACUCUCUAUACAACGUUUGAAGGCUCAUUUUUACGUCACUUUCAUUUUUUUCUUUCUUGAUAUGUUCUAUUCUAAGUGCAAAAUUUUGUAAAUGAUUCUCAUAAAUUGUAAAUUUUUACCAAUAUCAGCCACUUUUUUGUCUGUACUUAAUGAUUUCUCGUUGUGCCUGUAUCAAAUGUGUAAUAUAUGAAUAUAUUCAAAUAUAUGGAAAUGACUACCUUAA